GGACUACUGGGGUAUCUAAUCCUGUUUGAUCCCCACACUUUCGUGCUUCAGUGUCAGAUUUGACCUGGUAUGCUGCCUACGCUAUCGGGGUUCUUCGUAAUAUCUAUGCAUUUCACCGCUACACUACGAAUUCCGCAUACCUCGUACAAUCUCAAGUCUGACAGUUUCAACGGCAAUUUCCCUGUUGAGCAGGAACAUUUCACCGCUGACUUACCAAACAACCUACGCACCCUUUAAACCCAAUAAAUCCGGAUAACGCUCGCAUCCUCCGUAUUACCGCGGCUGCUGGCAC
rnacentral:rRNA from 1 species